UACAGAGGUCUCAAGCGUUGUUCGGAUUCAUUGGGCGUAAAGGGUGUGUAGGUGGCGCGCUAAGUCGGGUGUGAAAUUUCGGAGCUUAACUCCGAAACUGCAUUCCAUACUGCGGUGCUUGAGGACUGGAGAGGAGACUGGAAUUUACGGUGUAGCAGUGAAAUGCGUAGAGAUCGUAAGGAAGACCAGUGGCGAAGGCGGGUCUCUGGACAGUUCCUGACGCUGAGGCACGAAGGCCAGGGGAGCAAACGGG
rnacentral:rRNA from 1 species